UUUCUAUCUGUUGUGGACUGAUAAAAUGAAUAUGUGUAUCAAUUCCUCCGGCAGUUACGAUAAGACCUUCUCCAGCUAAAGCUUCUGUAGAAGCGCCAACUGUCAUACCUGGUGUAACAUUAUCCAUAGUAUCAGGAUUGCCCGCUUUUCCGAUAGCGACUAUUUUUCCAUUUUUUAUACCGAUAUCUGCUUUUACAAUACCUGUUACAGCAUCAAUGAUGAUGGCAUUAGUUAUUACUAAAUCGAGGUCUCCAUCAGAACUUUUUGUUGUAGCAGAUUGCCCCAUGCCAUCACG
rnacentral:sRNA from 1 species